ensembl:lncRNA
CCCUAACCUUACUCAUUCCUUCCUCUAAUCUCAAGAAAGAACUUCCCUUGGAAGAACCCAAUAGGAAGCUAGGAGGGUAAUUGUCCACUAACAUCUGUCACCUACAGUAAAGAGUCAGGUGUACAGCAAAGUGAAUCAGUUAUGUAUGUGUGUAUGUGUGUGUUCUCAGUCCAUCAGUUGUGUCUGACUUUUUGUGAUCCCAUGGACUGUAGUCUACAAGGCUCCUCUGUCCAAGGAAUUUUCCAGGCAUCAAAGGAUGACUAAACAAUUCUCAUCAAUAUAUUCUGCUGCUUGUCAAAUUCAAACUUGGAAACAGUACAUCAUGCAAAAUGGCAAGCCAUAUGAAACAUAAGCUGGAAUCAAGAUUGUUGAAGAAAUAUCAAUAACCUCAGAUAUGAAGAUGACACCACCCCCAUGGAAGAAAGCAAAGUGAAAUUAAAGAGCCUCUUG